rnacentral:lncRNA from 10 species
GAACUCCUUACCCCAGCUGCCUGGCUGCCCUCAGCUUCCCAAAGCUCAAAUAAGAGGGGCCGGCGGCGCGGGGAAGAGGAGGAGCCAGGAGGCUCGGCCGCUCCAUUCACUCAGCAGCCCAAGCCCGGCCAGGCAGCGCGCGCUGCUCCUUGGGGGCGCCCUCGCAGCUGGGGUGAGGGCGGGUCCGAGGGAGCGUCCCUCUCGGAGACACCCUCCUCUUCAACCCAACACGCGCUCUCAGCUGGCCGGUGUGGCACAACCCUCCCCCCACCUCCCCUUCUUGGCCUUCGCCAGUGUGGGAGCCUCGUCUCACUGGAGAGUCCGUUCAGCUUGCAUUGCAUAAACGUUGUCGCCAUUAAAUUCUGGCUGCGGACCCGAAGUGUGUGCGGGCCCAGGACUUACUCGAAGGGCGCACUUCUUGGGAAUGCGCAUCCCGUAGGCGCAGGAGACCCUGAGGAAUCCUUGUGGGGGCGGGGAGGGGAAGAGCACCGGUGCGAACCCCGGGGUGCCCCCUCGCCCGACUUGGACUUCUCCGACUAAAGAGGUGGGAGGAGUUCCCUGCAGCCUGCGGGGCCAAGAAGAAAGUGCUAAGCUGAGGAGCCGCAGUCGGAGGACCCCAGGGACCCGACAGGAAGUCUCCGUACGACCCCAACGGAUCCACAUGCCCGGAAGCCCAGGCGACACUAAGCCAGCGCUGGGGAACUGACGUACUCCUGCAGUCGCAGGGCGCUCCAUGCCUCUCUGUCCUCUUCUUUGUUGUGGGUAACGUUCUCUGCGGGAGACCUGAGGUUUUCCAAGGGGGACAUGCCAGCUACACUGGCCUUGGCGCCCUGAGCUAAGCACCAGGACUCACAGCCUAGCACGAAGGCAGGUAGCACCUUCACCCGCCGCGGACGAUAGGCGCUCUCCUGUACCUCCUUUAGCUCGCGAGGCCCGCCCUUCGCGAGGUCCCAGAGAAAAGCAGGCUGUGGAAAACUGGGCGCCCCCUUCUUUCACCCACCUUCUUACCCCUGUCAGCGCCGAGAUCUGUAGCAGAGGUUCCUGGUCUGAACCACCGAUUGGCAAAGAAAGCUGCAGAUUAAACUUCUCGUUUUACAGAGAAGGAAACUGAGGCCCAGACAGCCGAAGGAGAGGCAGUCUAUGGAGCGCAGCGGUAAAGAGCAAGGGGUUGGUGGCCCCAGAAUGGAACCUCAGCUCUGCCAGGUAACCAACAGCUGUGUGACCCUAGACGAGUUCCGCAGUCUCUCUGAGCCUCAGUUUCCUUACUGGUCAAACGGGAUAAUGGGAUACUAGCGCCCACCUCAUAGAGUUGUUCUGAGG